ACACAUGACAUUCCUGCAGCUGAUUGUUUCACUUUGUGAUUUUCUGCCAAGUUUAAUAUGACAUGACAAGACUGCAGCAAUGAUGAUGAUUGAUGAUGACUGAAACAAAAAAGUCAAAAUACAUACCCUUGUUAACUGUUAACUUCUUCUGUGUUUCCUCAGAUCUAAAUCAACCAACUGUGAAGUUGAUACAGCCAAGUGACGCUGAACUGUCAGAGUCCAACACCACCACACUCGUCUGUCUCGUCUCUGGGUUCUCCCCACCUAACAUCAUGGUGUACUGGGAGAAGGAUGGCCACAAGCUGUCAUCAUCUCACUACACCAACAGCCCUGCUUGGAAAGAUCCAGGGAGCAGCACUUAUUCCCUGAGCAGCUCACUGAACACAUCCCCAACAGAGCGGGACCAGAAACCCACUUAUUCUUGUGUUGUCAUACACGAGUCAUCUGAAAAGCCACUGAGGAGCACCAUAGAGGAAGUGUUUGCUUCGGUGAGCCUCUCCCGACCUUCAGCCACCUUGCUGCAAGGCUCUGGUGAGCUUGUGUGCCUGGUUACUGAUUUCAGCCCUGCAUUCAUCAACAUCACCUGGCUUCUCGAUGGCACCACUAAGCUGUGGGACUACAACACCAGUGAGGCCCACAGAGGCCCAAAAGGGAAAUUCAGCAUCCAAAGCCGACUUCGUGUGUCCCCAGUCAACUGGCAACGUGGGGCAGUGUACACCUGCAGGGUGACCCAUUCAAACACCACCUUAGCCCUGAAUAUCACCAAACCAGAGGUCCUGGAUGAAGGCAUGUUCUUUUACGACAUCGUACAUGAUGUUGUCACUGAGGACUUGAGCCAGGGCAGCUGGUAUAUGGCUGUCACCUUCCUCCUCCUGUUGUUAAUCUCCCUCAUCUAUAGCAUGUUGGUGACCCUCAUUAAGGUGAGAAGAAUGAGGUGUGAAUGUCUAAGGUGGUUUUGCAGAACUUUGUGUCACUGUAAUGCUUCCUGUAAUUGAGUAGCUGCAUGCAGUCAGUAGUGUUUGAUGUGGUCUACUGACUUUAGACCACAAUCUGUGUUUGGAAUCUCAAAACAGCAGUUCACCCACAAA